AGCAGUGUAGCAUAGUGGUAAUGAGUAGGGCUUGUAACCAAAAGGUUGCUGGUUUGAUUCUCUGCUGGAGCAUUGUUG